rnacentral:lncRNA from 1 species
AUGGCAGUCGAUCCCUGGGACCCAACUCUCCAUUGUCCAUGCACUCAGCACCACCAUGAGGAUCCCCUCCAUCAUCUCUUCUGUAGUCUUCACAACUGGUCUGGAGGACACAGGAGAUCAGAUGAAUCAUUCACUGCUGAAUCUGGUAGCCAUAGAUGGGAUGGUCAUGGCCAAAGUUGUGGUCACCUUCCCCAUCUGUGGAUGGAUGAUCUUUCUGUUGUGGAAGCAAAGGCCAGCAGAGGAAAGACUAAACCCCAGACAGGUGCGCUCCCACCAUCCCAAGGGGCAGCUGAGGAUCUGUUGGGAAGUUUAUUCCUAAAGGCAUGCAAGCGGGACAGAGAGAUGAUUCAGCCAGAAAUGCAAGGGACAUGGGUAGAAGGACCUGACUUUGAACCCCAGCUUACACAUUAUAACCCCGGGGAUGUGCCAGAAAUUUGUAAUCGCAGCUCUGGACAAGCAAGAGACAGGCAGAGUCAUGGGUUUGCAGUCCACUAUUCUAGCCUAAUUGAUUAGUUCCAGGGCUAAUGAAAGAUCCCUUUUAAGAAAGGGAAAUUUCUCAAGGUCAUAAAUUACAGUCAUUCACUAAAUUUAUUUGAAGUAAAGUAUUUUGAAUUCCAUAUUAAUGGAAAAGCAAUAGUAUAUGUCAGUUGGAAAUGUAGUCAGCUGCCUAACACAGUGUCCUGGAUGCGAUUCCAGGGAACCCAAAUUGUACACAGAGAAAACUGACUUUGGACAAUUUUCCUCUGCCUCUCAGGGUUGCUCACAUGCUCCUGGUGAGACAUUGUCUAUUUGUCCCCAGCUAACAGACCUCCAGGUGCCAGUUUCUCUCACCAGGGAGGAGAAUUUUCAUCAAAGUAGUAAUUGGUGAACCCACAUCAGCAUCUUACACCUUCAAAUUCUUGAUCUUGGGAAUUAGAACAUGCAGGGCUCUAGGACUGUUCUUCCAAACAUUCUUGGGCAGGCAUCGCAAGAUAACCCCACUUCUGCCAUAUGGGUUCUGAUGUCCUGUCCUCAGAACUCAGAUCAUCCAGUCUGUCUUUGGUCCUGAGAGUUCAACUGUGCUGUUCUUUCUUUGCUCCUGGAGUUAAUGAUACUUUUUAGUAGAUGAGAGAUCAGAAAGUAAAGCAAACCAAGGAGCUAGUUCAGAGUAAGGCUGAGGUGUAGAUGUGUCCAAACCCUGAAAAUCUUAUCUUGACACCAGCUGAGUUAGGACAGGUCUGAGCGUUCAGGAGCAAGAAGCCUAUACCACCACCACCUCCUACACUCUUUUAGUAGGCACAGAGAAAGAUGGCUGAAUUACAGUUCUAACUUUCUCUUGGGCUCUAAGGACAGGUCCAGCAAACACAUGGAAUUUCUCUUCAUGCAAAUGAAGGUGUCCCAGAACCUAUCACACAGAAAGUUUAAUAUAACCCUUGUUACCCCAUUUUUGAGUUUGCUGCUUGGGCCUUGGAACCAUAUUUGACCUCUAGUGUCCAUAUAAAGAGGCCAGCAAAACCUUUAAUCUUAGCAAAAGAGAUAGAGGCAGGCAGAGCUCUGUGUGUGGACAGUUAGCCUGGUCUAUGUGUCUAGUUCCACACCAAACAGAGCUGUGUGAGCUGUAAUCCUAGGACUGAGGAAGUGCAGACAGGCUUGUCUGUACAGCUCACUGGGCAGUCAAUCUAGUCUCCAUGGGAAAAUUGAAGUUAGUGAGAGAGCCUGAUUCAAAAAAUGAGAAGGAUGAGACCUUAGGCUCUCCUCUAGCCUCAACAUGCAUAAACCAAUGCAUGCACACAAAGACAGAUAUAGAGAGACACAGGAACAUAGAUACACAAACAGGGAUACACACACACACACACACACACACACACACACACACACACACGUACAUAUACCCACAGAGACAUACAGACAAAGAUUCUUACACAAAGAUGCACACUCUUACAUGCAUACACAUCAACACAGAGACACACAUCUGAUGUAACAGAUCCACAUAUUCACACACACUGGAUAUACCAGAAUGUGUAAAAGAAGAACUAUGAAAUAGCCAUAUGGGUAAAGCUCAGUCAAGAGCAGAAUACAAUCCUUUGCUUCAUGCACAUCACACCACUUCUGCUCACAUUCCUGGCUGAAGAGGAACCCUCCUGUAGGCCUCAGAAUACUGGAACUGAGGAGCAAUCUGGCACAGAUUCCUUCCAGUUUCUGCCUUCACCCUGAGCUGACCCUGUACCACCGCUCUCUGUACCCGAAUACCCCUGGGAGAGAGCUGGUUUCCCAGUAGUGCUCACACUCAGACUUACAGGAGAGUCAAGCUACUGUCAGAGAGAGAAAGACCAGCUCAAACCAGAGAUAAGCAGAUGGCGAGAGGGAAGGGCAAGAACCUUCACAGCGUAAACCAAGGUCAUUUGGCAUCAUCAGUACCCAGUUCCCCACCACAGCAAGCCAUGGAUAACCCAACACUGGAAAAGGAUUAUCUUGACUUAAAAUCACAAGUCAUGAUGACAUUAAAGGCCUUUAAGAAGGACAUAAAUAAGUAACUCCCUUAAGGAAAUACAGGACAAUACAGGCAAACAGGUAGAAACCCUUAAAGAGGAAGCACAAAAAUGAACCAAGCAGGUGAAGGAAUUGAUCAAAUCCAUCCAGGAUCUAAAAAUGGAAAUAGAAACAAUGAGGAAAUCACCAAGGGAAAGAACCCUGAGAAAGAAAAUCUAGGACUGAAAUCAGGAGUCAUAGACACAAGGAUUACCAACAGAAUACAGAAGAUGGAAGAGAGAAUCUCAGGGGGAGAAGAUACCAGAGAAAACAUUGACAUAACCGUUAAGGAAAAUGCAAAACCAAG